GUAUCCCCAUCAUUAUGCAACGCAUACUGUAGUUGGGAAAACUGCCUUUCACAAGCCAUAUCACUUGGCUCAAACAGGUCUGCAGUAGGUAAUAUAACGACUAGUCAUUCCACCUGGCAAGUUGUGCUGCUAUUGCAUGACAUUGACCUGAUUGAGGGCACAUGUGAUCAGCUGUCUCCUGUCAUACCAGGCUAUCAUACCUCUCUAAGGCUGGAAGUAGAGAAAAGGCAUUGAAAUGGUUUCAUAUCUUUGUGAAUUUAAUCCUGUCAUUUCUAUUGAUCACUUUGGCCGUGGAGACUAAGAGGGAGAAAAGUACAGCAUUUGGCAUAAAUUGUGUGAUUUUUUAGCUGCAUGUCUUGGUGAUGGCUGGUGGUACAUUUUUAUUUCCAUGGGAUGUUCAAGGUCACCCUUCACAUCUACAUUUAAGGAUAUGAAUCAAAG
rnacentral:lncRNA from 10 species